UUCAUAUGGCCGGCCAAACAAAGAAAAAGGAAGAACAAAAUGAGGAAAGGAAAAAAACAAGAAACCUAGGUGGGAAAAUUAAAGGAAAAUUGGUGGAUUUCAAGGAAUCAAGCAAUCAAAGGUAAAAUUUCUUGAUUUUGACUUGUGAUAUACCUUUCCUAUGCUUUUCUCCUUAUUUUCCAUGGUUAGAUUUCAUGUUUUCAUGGUGAAUUCAUGGCUGCCCAAAUGGGUAUGGAGAGAGAAUGAAGUUAGAUUAAUUUGAUUUUAAGUUAUGUUAGUGUUUUUAGUUAGUUUAACAUAUUUAGAAACAAAACAACAAAAAAAGAAUUCAUUUUCCUCCAUUACCAUUAUUGGCUGAAUUUUCUAGUGAAAUAUUGGCUACUGAUCUUGAUGUUUAUUUGAGGAAUUAUGAUGAAUAAUGAUGAAUUAUGAGCCUAGAAAAAUAAUGGGAAUUUUCGGAGCAAAAAUAUGAAUUUUUACCCACUAGGGGUAUUUUCGUAAUUUGCUAUCGGGACUGAUAAUUUGCACCACACUGAGGAACAUUAAGUCAAAUUGGGUGCAAUUGAGGCAUAGAAACUGAAAAAAAUUAAUUUGAAGUUUAAACGGAUGCGUAUAUCGAUUUAUCGGGUAAAAGAUCGAAAUAGGCUAACAUCUCGUUUAGGCAAAAUUUAGACAUUUUGCACUUCAUAUCAUGCAUUAGUAGUAUAAAUUAGUUUAUUUUGGUUUAGUACCAAAGUAGUAAACCUCUUAAUUGUGCAAUUUGUCAAGGUGGCGAAUCCUCUAGCAAGGGCAAAGAAAUCGCACCCGAGGAGUAAUAGUUGGAGUACCCGAAUUUAGUUUUCGAAAACUGUGAGUAAACUUAUUAUCGUCUUAAUUAUCUAGAGUAGUUUUAUACAAUUGUGUGAUUUUAUGAAAAAUGGGUUUAAAUGGUAAAUUGCUAUGUUUUAAGAGAAAUUGUGAUUUUAUAAAUUUUUUGAAAAAUCGAAUACUGGUUUUGAAAAUAGAGUAAUUGGAGACUGCCUGCUUGUGUUGUAAAUUUAUGGUUUUAAAUUGAAUGGCUUAUGACAAUAAAUGAGAAUGAAUGGCUAAACUGAUUUUGGUGUUAGAAUUAUUUGUACUGUGUAUUUAGCCUUGAGAGGCUAGGUUGUGAUAAAUUGCCAUGUCAUGCAGAAAAAGAUUUUAUAAAUCAGGUGGUAAAUAAAAGAUUAGCUACUGUAGUGGUGGGGGGUUCC
rnacentral:lncRNA from 1 species